rnacentral:lncRNA from 1 species
GGUCCUCAAGAUUCGUCCAUGUCGUAGAGUGUGAACUUCUUACAAGGAGAAGAGUUUUGUUCAUAAGUGUCUCAGGUACGAUGUACGUGCCCAAGGUCCAAGGAUUGUGUUAAGUGGAAAACUCUGUCUCUUUAGGGAGUUACUUUGUUCUAAAGGACCCAUCAAAGACAGAGAAGUCUGGUCUAAUAUGGUCCCUGCGGAGCUGAUCGUUGAACAGACGUUGGUUGCGGGGUGCGUAGCAGGAGUGUCUUGCAUCCUAGCUUCAUAUCUAGAUUUCAUCCUGGCUCAGUUGCAGAAAUCCUAGGGCCAAGGCCGAUUAGCUGCCCUCCCUCGUCCAACUAGGCCGCUUUAACCACAUUGGUCCCAUGAGACAGAAGCGGGCUGACUGGCAAGAUUUAAAAUAGAGCAGUAGAGACACAAACUGAGAUCCAGAGGGUGAGGGGGUGGAACAGGAAGGAUGGACACGGUAAAAACGGAACGUAAAGAGAGAGUGUCUACCUGAAACCACCAUAUAAAUUGGGAAAAUUCAGAUCUUUUGUGCUCUUGGUUUUAUUAUUUCAUUUUUAUUUUUACAUUAAAAUGUAGUUGAUUUACAAUGUGGUGUCAAUUUCUGCUGUAUAGCAAAGUGGCUUUAUAUAUAUGUAUACUUUUAUAUAUAUAUACUUUUAAAAUAUAUAAGUAUGUAUAUAAACACGCACACACAUAUAUACUUUUUUAUAUUACUUUCCAUCAUGAUCUAUCCCAGGAGAUUGGAUAUAGCGCCCUGUGCUAUGUACAGUAGGACCUCAUUGCUUAUCCAUUCUAAAUGUAAUACUUUGCAUCUACCAACCCCAAACUCCCAGGUCAUCCUACUGUGUUCUUGAUUUUAAAUAUUUGGACAUUUAAAAAAAAUCAAGAUCAUCACCAAAGAAAGGCUUCAUUUUCCUGAACUCCUAAGGUCCCCUCUCCAAACCCCCUUGAUGACUUUGUAUUAUUUCCUACUUACCCGGAGACUAUCACUUGGAGAUAGAGAAUUCUCUGUAUUUGAAGUCACGAGUAGGUAGAAAUGAGACAUUUUGGUGGGGAAAGUGGAUAGAAAUUUAGGGGGAAAUUUAAAAACAUGCAAAAUGUAAUUUUUAUAGUGCUCUGUUAGGAACCAAAUUCUCUUUCUUCUUGCCCCCUCUUUUUUUUUUUGGCUGGGAAAUAAAUAUGCAUCAUGUAUAAUUUAAUUUACAUAUUAAAUUAGAAUUUGCUAUAUCUGGAGAUGUGAUAGUCUUGGGAAAAGUUUACUUUUUCUGCUUUUCUAUGGGGAAGAUUAAGAACUGAAGGAAACCUCCCCUGAUAUUUUUAAAAACGUUUUUCAGGUUUUUACAUUUUUAGUCCUAGAAGGAAGAUAGGAAGACACACAGAUAAAGGGUCCUGCUGUCAGCAGUGGGUGGUGGGAGGCCAAAGGAGAGAAUAGAAAGAGGAGACAGGAGCCUGGGGUGGUCGGCCUAAUUUAUGAAGGUUGCAAGCAACCCAGAAGUUCAGGGGACAAACCAGCGAAUGUGGAUCCAGAGUAAGAAGCUGAGGGCAGACUCUGGGGUGAAGGACCCAGGAGGACAGGGGAUGAGCAAAGUGCAACGUUCCAGUGGAUCAUUUGGGGGCCAGGGCCCAGAAAUCCAGACCACGUAGGGAGCAGGGUUUAGUCCAGGUACAUGAAAACAGGUGGGUAGACUGUCUGUUGACUGCACAAACAUGACUGGGCUAUUGAUCCUGGGACAGGUCUGUCUGUUUCUUGCACCUGCCACCAAACCAGAUAAGUGAGGACUCAGCAAGGAUUCCAUGAACCUCGCCUAGAAAAAAAUUACUCCAGAAGUAGUCUAGCUAAUCAGAAAAUUUUAUUUAUCAAAAAUUUAUCUAUCAAAUUAAAGCACUCAAUUUUAUUUAUCAAAGCACACAAAAUAGAUAGACUAUUUAUAAUGAUCACCAAGAAAGAAAACACUAGAAUUUGGAGUCAUUGUCUAAUUAGAAUCAAUACCUUUGCAAAGCUGAAUGCAAAUGUCAAAUAUCUUGAGGCCAGAGAAUAGAUCUACUAAAUUACUCACCGCAUGUCUCCUUAGUACUUCACCCAGGGUAUAUCAUAGUUUCUCCAUAAACGCUGGUUGGAUGAAUAAUGUAAGAAAGAAAUCAAGGAUACUCCAGAACUGAAAAUCCAAGUCAUUGUGACAAAACCAGGUUUGUAAGGAAAGCUCUUAUCUAACCAAGAAAGUCUUUAGAUACUAUUUUGUUCUUCAUCUGAUGUAACUGACGUGCAUAGCAUAUUUUAUUGUGCUUCACAGAUACGGUGUUUUUCACAAACUGAAGUUUUGCGGCAACCCGGUGUUGUCAAAUGAUGGAUAAUUAUCAUUUUUUAACAAUGAAGUAUUUUUUUAGACACAAUGCUAUUGCACAUUUAAUAGACUACAUUAUAGGGUAAACGUAACUUUUAUAUGCACCUGGAAACCAAAAAAUUCGUGUGAUUUUCUUUAUUUUGGUGGUCUGGAACCAGACCCACUAUGUCUCCAAGGUAUGCCUGUAUAUAUAAAUGAUUUUAACUGAAAGAUUAAAAACAAGAUGUAAAACGUAGAAAGCAUUGGGGAAGAGUGAAAGAACAAAGGAAUAAAAGUAAUAUUGUGAAAAAGAAGAAUUUCCCUUUAACGUUGCUGAAUGUGGGGCCAGAAACCAGACUCUUCUCCUCCUACUUAACCUUGGGAAGCCCCUUGGGAGUCCUCUGUCUCCUCAUCUGAAAAAGGAUGUGAAUGGAAAUUCUAAAGAUCUCUGUGGCUCCUCCCAUAUAUGGGAAGAGAGCUUCACCCCUGGAAAGGUCUACAGGUCUAUUGCUUGUUCUCUACUGAUAUGAACAGGAUUUAAUGUAUUACAUUUGGUAGGUCAUGAGUGUAGAUUUUAACAGGAAUAUUCUGAGGCAAUGCCUGAUGCAAAAGAGAGGUUAAUGGUGAGACGGGGCCACCCAUGGUUGGAAGGCAGCUUUGGGACAGGCAAGUCUUUGUGUGCCCUUCAAAUACAUACCCCAGGAAACCAGUCAUCUCACCUACAUUUACAGUUGGCCUGAGGUAUGAGGGAGAAUCAUGGAACUUUUAAUAUAAGAUUUGCUUUAAAUCCCAUCUUUAUCAUUUUUCUACUUAUAUAACUAGGCAAAUCGAGUUGCCUAGCUGAACUGGUCAUCUGUAAAAUGGGUAUCUAUCUAAUUGAUAGGAUUUAGAGAAAAUGAGAUGAUAAGAUAUAUCUAUAUAUCUAUAUACAGAUACAUAUAUAUCUCCAGAUCACAACUAUGUAAAAAUAAUAGAUAUUAAAGAAAAAAACCCUAGAAUGCCAAUAGCAAAAAGUGGCAACAUGACAGGGAUUUGUUUCCUUUUCUCUGUCAUUCAGAUGUUCUGAAAUAUGAUGUUAAUACACUUUUAAUUAAAACAUUAUAGCUAGGGGUUCCCGUUGUGGCACAGCGGAAACGAAUCUGACUAGGAUCCAUGAGGUUGUGGGUUUGAUCCCUGGCCUCCUUCAGUGGGUUAAGGAUCCGGCGUUGCUGUGGCUGUGGAGUAGGCCAGCAGCUACAACUCUGAUUAGACCCCCAGCCUGGGAACCUCCAUCUGCCGUGGGUGCAGCCCUAAAAAGACAAAAAAAAAACAAAAACAAAAACAAAAACCAAACAAACAAACAUUAUAGCUAAGAGGCAUAUAUGCAUACAUAUGCACUUGAUGUGCUCGGUAAGCUCUAAAGCAAUACAAAACAUUCCUAUUGUGACUAGCAGUAAGGUUACAGGGUCUUGUUCUUUGUGCUGAGACUCCUAAGGGCUUUGACCCUGGGACCUCACACAGCACUGGGUCACAGUCCCUUGUACUCCAUCCAGUGACCCUGUACAGAUGCCCAUGUCCCUGAUUUUUCCUUCGAAUAUGUUGAUUCUCCUGUGUGUAUUGAAUAGAAAAUAAAAUUAGCCCAGAAAGUGCCAUCAUUGUGGACUAUUUGGGGUUGUCAGUUAUCCAGACUUAAUCUUCCUCCUUUGACUGAAGCUAGGAGGGGAUCCUCAGACCGAGGCCACCAGAGCAACAUGUUUGCCAACAGGUGACACCUUAUUUCCCAGAACACCAUUUAUAGGAAACAAAGCUACAUUUCUCAGCCUGUUACAGGCUGCCUGGAUGUUGCUCUUGACCAUGGUUCCCACCAUCUCUUCCUCUUGAAGCCUCAGAAGGAAACCAGUGAUGGUGUCGGGGGCGGGCUGGUAAGACAAGCGCCAGUUUCCUAAAGUAAGUUAAUGCCACGUGAGAGUCAGCCCUCAGCAUCUGCAGGUUCUGCAUCCAUGGACAGCUGUUUGACUGUCCCAUGCUUGAGCAUCCAUGUAUUUUGGUAUCCGAGGGGGUCCUGGAACAGAUCCCCGCCCCUGGUCUGGACAGAUGACUAUAUUCUGCUUUGUCCCUUGUCCCUCUGUGAGUUGUAAUAGUCCCUUCUUGACCUGGGCUCUAAUAUCUACCCUUUCUGCCUUUGUAACAUGGUCCUUGUUACUGCCAGAGAAUUGCCAAAGGCCAGCAGAAACUUCCAGAGUCUCCAAAUUCCCCACCGCGGGGACCCAUUUCAUUUUUUCAUUAUUGAAAACCCCAUGUGGUUAUUUUAGGACCUAGCUGAGGGUGUGGCAUGGAAUUAAAUAUUCAAUAAGUGUUGUGGAAAGGAUGAAAACCACAAUCAUGAAAAAAUAAUUCAUCUCCUUAAAAAAAAACCCAGAUAAGCCACAUGGCUGCCAGUCAGAGUCCUGUGGUCUGUAAUAAAUAAUAACCAGAGCCACUGUGUGGACAUGAUAGGAUUCCAUGACAUUUGGGGAUCUCGUGCAGCUUCUUUCAUGUAAAUAUUGUAAUUCCAGCAGGACUUUUAAAAAGACUGAUAAUUAGGAGUUCCCAUUGUGUCUCAGUGGUAAUGAACCCAAUUAGUAU